rnacentral:rRNA from 1 species
UACGUAGGGGGCUAGCGUUGUCCGGAUUUAUUGGGCGUAAAGAGCGUGUAGGCGGCCAGGUAGGUCUGCUGUGAAAACUCGAGGCUCAACCUCGAGACGUCGGCGGAAACCAUCUGGCUAGAGUCCGGAAGAGGAGAGUGGAAUUCCUGGUGUAGCGGUGAAAUGCGCAGAUAUCAGGAAGAACACCCGUGGCGAAGGCGGCUCUCUGGGCCGGUCCUGACACUGAGGCGCGAAGGCGUGGGGAGCGAACGGG